rnacentral:rRNA from 1 species
GCACAAGCGGUGGAUGAUGUGGUUUAAUUCGAUGCAACGCGAAAACCUUACCCACCUUUGACAUGUACGGAACCCUUUAGAGAUAGAGGAGUGCUCGAAAGAGAACCGUAACACAGGUGCUGCAUGGCUGUCGUCAGCUCGUGUCGUGAGAUGUUGGGUUAAGUCCCGCAACGAGCGCAACCCUUGUCAUUAGUUGCUACAUUCAGUUGGGCACUCUAAUGAGACUGCCGGUGACAAACCGGAGGAAGGUGGGGAUGACGUCAAGUCCUCAUGGCCCUUAUAGGUGGGGCUACACACGUCAUACAAUGGAUGGUACAAAGGGUCGCCAACCCGCGAGGGGGAGCCAAUCCCAUAAAGCCAUUCGUAGUCCGGAUCGCAGUCUGCAACUCGACUGCGUGAAGUCGGAAUCGCUAGUAAUCGUGGAUCAGAAUGUCACGGUGAAUACGUUCCCGGGUCUU